AGGAGUGGUUUGGAGUUCUGUGCUGUGACCUCUGCUGAAAGGAGCUGUGUGGAGAGAGUGGAAGAACUUGGAAACAGCGACAUGGAUACAAAUGGGAAGGCAAUUAUAUUGAAGAAUAUCAUCAAUCUUCCAGAAGACAUGGAAGGUGACAAUCUCUAAUAGGCUUUGUUGUCACCCUGCUGCAUUGUGACCAGUAUCUAUGGCUGGAGAGCCAACAUGAAGCAGAUCAUGACGUCUUAGGCGCUUCAAGAGAGCUCGCAAUGGCCUACAUAGUGGCCCAAAGCACCUAGAUGUCAGUCCUGCCCAGACUGCAGACACUGCAGCAGAAAGCAGAGUUGGACAAAAACGACAAAGCUGUCAAGGACCUGGUGGUGACGUGUUUGCUACGGUUCUGGUCUCCUCUGGUUUCCCCUGUGAGAAGCGCCUGAUAUACCGCAGUGCUUCAACUGUAAGGAGGCCUGUGAGGUAUAGAUGGCAAGGAUUCUAAUAUCCUAGUUUUUUAGGCAUUGAUGAAGGUAAGGAAGCAGCAGAGAAACACAAUUGCUGCUGUUCCUCAUUAGUUCUCUCCCUGACGAGGGUGAGGAAGCUGCCUCUCCCGUGAUAGGAGCAGAUUAGAGACCCUCUUCUCAGUGGAAACCCAUUCCCUGUGCAUCGUUUCCCAGUGGCUCCCCCAGCAGCCUUGGCCCACCCUGACCCACCCUGGCUCUUUGCUAAUGUCUAGAGGAUCUCUUCUCCCUGUCCUUGGAUUUUCCUUAGGCAGAAAAAACCUGCUUCCACAGAAUAGCAGUUUAGGUAUUGUGUACUAUAUGUGGCUUUUUUGUUUUGUUUUGUCUACUUUAUUCUGAAAAUAAAGUUAUGCAAAAUAAAAAAAAAGAUGUAGUUUUAUACAUAACUGCUUUCAUGAUGCUCUGUGCUUUUCCUGGCUCACAGAACAGAAACAAGGGCAGCUUCUCUGGUACUAGCGUUCUUGUUAAUGCCUGGCUGGUUAUCAAAGGUGAUGAUUAAUUCCUUGUAUCCAUUUUUACCUUUGGCUUCAUGUUAUGAUUUACUAAAAAAAAAAUUGGAUAGUGAAUGAGCACCUUGAGGAUUUAAAGUAGAAAUGACUGUCUUUCAUUUAAAAAUGCUUAGGUUUGUGAUUCUUCUAAGAUUUUCUUAUAUUACCUUUUGAAAUAAAUAAUGUAAUGAUUGAUUCGUCUUUUGUAACUGCAA